CCUGACGACCAUAGCGAGUGGGAACCACCUGAACCCAUGCCGAACUCAGAAGUGAAACCACUCAGCGCCGAUGGUAGUGUGGGGUCUCCCCAUGUGAGAGUAGGUCAUCGUCAGGC
rnacentral:rRNA from 1 species